UACAGAGGUCCCAAGCGUUGUUCGGAUUCACUGGGCGUAAAGGGUGCGUAGGCGGUCGGGUAAGUUUGAUGUGAAAUCUCCGAGCUCAACUCGGAAAUGGCAUUGAAUACUAUCUGGCUAGAGAGUCGGAGGGGGGACUGGAAUACUUGGUGUAGCAGUGAAAUGCGUAGAUAUCAAGUGGAACACCAGUGGCGAAGGCGAGUCCCUGGACGAUUUCUGACGCUGAGGCACGAAAGCUAGGGGAGCAAACAGG
rnacentral:rRNA from 1 species